CUACGGGGGGCUGCAGUGGGGAAUCUUAGACAAUGGGGGAAACCCUGAUCUAGCCAUGCCGCGUGAGCGAUGAAGGCCUUAGGGUUGUAAAGCUCUUUCAGCUGGGAAGAUAAUGACGGUACCAGCAGAAGAAGCCCCGGCUAACUCCGUGCCAGCAGCCGCGGUAAUACGGAGGGGGCUAGCGUUGUUCGGAAUUACUGGGCGUAAAGCGCACGUAGGCGGACUAUUAAGUCGAGGGUGAAAUCCCGGGGCUCAACCCCGGAACUGCCUUCGAUACUGGUAGUCUUGAGGUCGAGAGAGGUGAGUGGAAUUCCGAGUGUAGAGGUGAAAUUCGUAGAUAUUCGGAGGAACACCAGUGGCGAAGGCGGCUCACUGGCUCGAUACUGACGCUGAGGUGCGAAAGCGUGGGGAGCAAACAGGAUUAGAUACCCGUGUAGUC
rnacentral:rRNA from 1 species